CAUCAAGUGCUUGAUGUAAACUAGGACAAUUGUUAACUUAUUAAUUGUUAGUUAACUUAACUAUUAUUCUGUCAUUUGAAUUUUUAGCAAAUAUAUGCUUAGCACACUUCACAGAAGAUUUGUUUGUGAGAAGUAAGAAGAUUUGACCUCCUAUGGAUAUUUGAAGACGGUCGCUUUUGCCGAAUGCAGUUCCAACAUUAUUGUUACCAAAAACGGAAAAUAGUGACAAUGAAAGUAAUAUGGACUUCAAAGUCAUAGCCGAAGAUUUUCCGCUUCCCGUCAUCCACGAAAAUGUACAUGCAGUCUUCCGAGUUACUCGUCAGCCCUGAUGAUCCAUCGAAUAUACAGGAAUGUAUGAUAGAUGUAGAAUCACCAAGGUCGAUUUAGAAGUAAUCGAAGGCUGGAGGAAACAUAUGCAAUGUGUCGAACGCCAUCAAAAUCAAGAAAAAAAU